rnacentral:rRNA from 1 species
GAGUUUGAUCAUGGCUCAAUUGAACGCUGGCGGCAUGCCUUACACAUGCAAGUCGAACGGCAGCACGGGCUUCGGUCUGGUGGCGAGUGGCGAACGGGUGAGUAAUGCAUCGGAACGUACCCGGGAGUGGGGGAUAACUAUCCGAAAGGAUAGCUAAUACCGCAUAUUCUGUGCGCAGGAAAGCAGGGGAUCUUCGGACCUUGUGCUCCCGGAGCGGCCGAUGUCAGAUUAGCUAGUUGGUGGGGUAAAGGCCUACCAAGGCGACGAUCUGUAGCGGGUCUGAGAGGAUGAUCCGCCACACUGGAACUGAGACACGGUCCAGACUCCUACGGGAGGCAGCAGUGGGGAAUUUUGGACAAUGGGCGCAAGCCUGAUCCAGCCAUGCCGCGUGAGUGAAGAAGGCCUUCGGGUUGUAAAGCUCUUUCGGCCGGGAAGAAAUCGUACGGGUUAAUACCCUGUGCGGAUGACGGUACCGGCAUAAGAAGCACCGGCUAACUACGUGCCAGCAGCCGCGGUAAUACGUAGGGUGCGAGCGUUAAUCGGAAUUACU